rnacentral:rRNA from 1 species
AGUGAACGCUGGCGGUAGGCCUAACACAUGCAAGUCGAACGGCAGCACAGUAAGAGCUUGCUCUUACGGGUGGCGAGUGGCGGACGGGUGAGGAAUACAUCGGCAUCUACUUUUUCGUGGGGGAUAACGUAGGGAAACUUACGCUAAUACCUCAUACGACCUACGGGUGAAAGCAGGGGAUCUUCGGACCUUGCGCGAUUGAAUGAGCCGAUGUCGGAUUAGCUAGUUGGCGGGGUAAAGGCACACCAAGGCGACGAUCCGUAGCUGGUCUGAGAGGAUGAUCAGCCACACUGGAACUGAGACACGGUCCAGACUCCUACGGGAGGCAGCAGUGGGGAAUAUUGGACAAUGGGCGCAAGCCUGAUCCAGCCAUACCGCGUGGGUGAAGAAGGCCUUCGGGUUGUAAAGCCCUUUUGUUGGGAAAGAAAAGCAGCAGGUUAAUACCCCGCUGUUCUGACGGUACCCAAAGAAUAAGCACCGGCUAACUUCGUG